CCUACGGGUGGCUGCAGUGAGGAAUAUUGGUCAAUGGGCGCGAGCCUGAUCCAGCCACGCAGCGUGAAGGAUGACUGCCCUACGGGUUGUAAACUUCUUUUAUAAAGGAAUAAAGUGCGGCACGUGUGCCUUUUUCUCUGUACUUUAUGAAUAAGGAUCGGCUAACUCCGUGCCAGCAGCCGCGGUAAUCCGGAGGAUCCGAGCGUUAUCCGGAUUUAUUGGGUUUAAAGGGAGCGUAGAUGGGUUGUUAAGUCAGGUGUGAAAGUUUGCGGCUCAACCGUAAAAUUGCAAUUGAUACUGGCAGGCUUGAGUACAGUUGAGGUAGGCGGAAUUCGUGGUGUAGCGGUGAAAUGCUUAGAUAUCACGAAGAACUCCGAUUGCGAAGGCAGCUUACUAAACUGCAACUGACAUUGAUGCUCGAAAGUGUGGGUAUCAAACAGGAUUAGAUACCCGAGUAGUC
rnacentral:rRNA from 1 species